CUUCGUUAUCUCGAAAUUGUAGCACGAGUUCCGAAAUGCUAUCCAUGGAGUGUUCUGCACAGGAGACGGACACUUAGCGCUGUCUGAUGGUUUGACCUCCUUUUCAGUCUCAUCUAGAAAAGGAGUUAAUGGUCAUAAGAACUGUUGGUGGAAACCAGAAAGCUAAGAUGGAGUGAGGACCACUGUUUGCCCCGGAUAUGAUGGAGACAGCAUGGCACACUAGAAAGAGCAGGAACCUGGCUGUGAACAGUAGUCCAAUCCCGUACGAGCUUUUGAUUUGUGAGCCUGGCCCUCCAAAUUUCCAGACCCCCAUCUGUGACGUGGCUGUAACACAAGACUAGUCAAGUGUGAAUGCUCAUUUCCUGAGUCUCAGCUCAAGCCUGGGCAGCGCACACUGCUGUUUUCACACUGGUCUCUGGGGCAAAGCAGCUUCCUUUACAGUACGCGUAUCAACCCGGAAGCCUCUAAAUACUUGUCUGUAGCUCUUGACAGGGCCUGACCACCCGCUUGUCUCGAGAAUGGCUUUAUGUGGUUGACACGGGAGUUUCAGCAAUAGCUAUGAAGCUUCCCCUUGGUGCCACCAGGCGCUAGGUUUUAAUGACCAAUGCUGGCCCAACUGCACGAUAGGGCAAAGCAUUUCUGAGGCCCAGGGGAAGGUCACACACAGAUUCCUUAUUUCAGAAACAGUCAAAUGCUACCAAAUGCUACCAAAUGCUUCAUUAUUUUGGUACUGCUAGGGGUUAAAUCUAGGGCCUCCUGGCUGCUAGCAAAGACUCUAUCAGUUAAUUCCUAUGCCACUGUGGGGCUUUAAACUUGCCCCUGGGGAGGCAUUUUACCUAUACUCUGGCCUACACUGUCCCGAAUUCUUCCCCUCUGCCCCCAGCCCCUGCCAAUGGCCUUUGAAGUUUCCUUCUACCACAGAUUGCACUCCCUACCCACAAUGAACGUGAAAUCUCCUGAUCAAGACUAUAAAUACCUAAACUUUCUAACAUCUAAACUUUGAUUGAUCUUAAUUUGAACUUGGCUUUUCCAAGCUAACAAUCUGUUUUAGCUGCACAAGGGAAGCCUGUUCAUUUGUUUUUGUCCUUAGAUACCAAAGGACUGUAAGUGGAGGGCUGUGGGUAUUACCUCCUUUGAUGUCCCUUCACUUAGAGCAAACUUCCAGGAUCCAUGUCUCUCUCUGACAACUUACAUGACGACUCAUUCUUCCUGCUCCCUCCUGAUAUUCACUACAGUGUGGUGUGACCCUGCUGUGACCCUGCCGUGACCCAGCUCUGGAUUUCAUUUAACCCAGAAUUGCUAUACUUGAGAUACAGUGGACAUGCUUUAUUUCAGGUCCACAUCAUUUCCUUUAUACAUGCACAUGAAAACAACUGUCCCCACAGCUCCAGGCUCCAUGCUGCUGCUGUUCUCACUACUUCCCUGGUGUCAUGACACUUGAAUAAAAGUCUUAUAUUAUUUCUAU